ACCAGUCACCAAUUAGCGUCCUACCCUAAAGGUAGGGCCACAGUGCCAUCUGCUUUUCUUAAGGCCUCUGCUCCAUCAGCAAUAAGGUGGCAGACACUCAGGCUGUGGGAACCUGGCCAUCCCCACUUCCUCGAGCGGUUCAGGUGGUGGAUGCUCCGCCUGCACUAGGCGCACCCUUGCAGAGGUGGCUGGUUGCUCUUUGAGCCAGCUUGGACUUGCCUGGCAUGCACAGGCCCCAGCUACUGACACGCUGCUCCGAGUGAGCUUGUCCUGCCUUGGCACAAAUUUUAAGUCUCGCCAGGGCCACAGAAGGCUCAGUCCCAUGGAUGGGAAUUUUGGCUGCUUUCUGCACUUGAACGUAAAGUCCUCCUCAAGAAGGCCUGUGGUCUGCCUCUUGGCAACCAAGAAGCCUGCAGUACCGUACGACCCGAGGCAUGGACUGGAGCCCCAAAGGCAGUGCACACCCUGCUCCUGAGCCUGCUGCUCGUUUCUAUAUGGCUCCAUUUGUAGCACAGUUGUUGCACUGAAGCUUGGGCAUGCCGGCCAAGGCCAAGCUGGCUCAAAAAGCAACCGGUCACCUCUGCAAGGGUGUGCCAGGAGCAAGGGCACGAGCUACCAACUAGCAGCCGGACAUGUACAUCACUUCUUCUACCCUAAAGGUAGGGCCACAGUGCCAUCUGCUUUUCCUAAGGCCUCUGUUCCAUCAGCAAUUAGGUGGCAGCCAAUCAAGCUGUGGGAAGCUGGCCAUCCCCACUUCCUUGUGUGGCUGAGGUGCUGGAUGCUCUGCCUGCUCUAGGCGCACCCUUGCAGAGGUGGCUGGUUGCUCUUUGAGCCAGCUCGGCCUUGCCUGGCAUGCAUAGGCCCCAGCGACUGACACGCUGCUCCGAGUGAGCUUGUCCUGCCUUGGCACAAAUUCUAUGUCUGGCCAGGGCCACAGAAAGCCGAGUCCCCUGGAUGGUAAUCCUGGCUGCUUUCUGUACUUGAACGUAAAGUCCUCAUCAAGACGGCCUGUGGUCUGCCUCUUGGCAACCAAGAAGCCUGCAGUGCCAUACGACCCCUGAGGCAUGGACUGGAGCCCCAAAGGCAGCGCACACCUGGUUCCUGAGCCUGCUGCUUGUUUCCUCUCUGUGGCUCCAUUUGUAGCACAGUUGUUGCACUGAAGCUUGUGCAUGCUGGGCAAGGCCAAGCUGGCUCAAAGAGCAACCAGCCACCUCUGCAAGGGUGUGCCAGGAGCAGGUGCACCAGUCACCAACUAACGGCCAGACAUGGUUACAUCACUUCUACCCUAAAGGUGGGCCACAGUGCCAUCUGCUUUUCCUAAGGCCACUGCUCCAUCAGGAAUUAGGUGGCAGCCAAGGCAGGACAAAUUUUAAGUCUCGCCAGGGCCACAGAAGGCUCAGUCCCAUGGAUGGUAAUUUUGGCUGCUUUCUGCACUUGAACGUAAAGUCCUCCUCAAGAAGGCCUGUGGUCCGCCUCUUGGCAACCAAGAAGCCUGCAGUACCAUACGACCCGAGGCAUGGACUGGAGCCCCAAAGGCAGUGCACACCCUGCUCCUGAGCUUGCUGCUUGUUUCCUCUCUGUGGCUCCA
rnacentral:lncRNA from 1 species